UACGUAGGGGGCGAGCGUUAUCCAGAUUUACUGGGCGUAAAGCGCGUGUAGGCGGCUUGUCGCGUCGUCUGUGAAAUCCCGCGGCUCAACUGCGGGCUGGCAGUCGAUACGGGCAGGCUGGAGUUCGGUAGGGGAGACUGGAAUUCCUGGUGUAGCGGUGAAAUGCGCAGAUAUCAGGAGGAACACCGGUGGCGAAGGCGGGUCUCUGGGCCGAUACUGACGCUGAGGAGCGAAAGCGUGGGGAGCGAACAGG
rnacentral:rRNA from 1 species